rnacentral:rRNA from 1 species
UGCCAGCAGCCGCGGUAAUACGGAGGAUGCAAGCGUUACUCGGAGUCACUGGGCGUAAAGAGCGUGUAGGCGGGUUAAUAAGUCAGAUGUGAAAGCCCCGGGCUCAGCCUGGGAAUUGCAUUUGAAACUGCCUCACUAGAGUAUGGUAGAGGGAAGUGGAAUUCCGGGUGUAGCGGUGAAAUGCGUAGAUAUCCGGAGGAACAUCAGUGGCGAAGGCAACUUCCUGGACCAAUACUGACACUGAGGUGCGAAAGCGUGGGUAGCAAACAGGAUUAGAUA